GCGCUUGAAGAGGGGCCCGCGCCUGAUUAGCUAGUUGGUGGGGUAAUGGCUCACCAAGGCUACGAUCAGUAUCCGGCCUGAGAGGGCGGACGGACACACUGGGACUGAGACACGGCCCAG
rnacentral:rRNA from 1 species